rnacentral:lncRNA from 1 species
UGAAGGGCAAUUUAAGCAAAAGAUCAAGGACACCUCUUUUAUAGUAAUGGACUGGGAGUCCUGUUAUGCCUCCUCAUUCCUGGGAACACUGUUGGGAGACUGGCAUGGAGAAUUCCCACAAGAGGUGCUGACUCAUGUCUAGAUGAUACAGCAAGGUCAUGGACCUUGAAGAAUGGAAACUUCUUCCUGAAGAUGGUGAACUGGCAAGAUAGGAACCUUGAUUCCUGAUGACACUGUGAAGAUUCCAUAUCAGUUCUACCUCCUCUGAACUUCUUUUAGGUGAGAGAGAAAUAUAUUUCUAUUUUGUUUAAGUGAUAUUUAUUUUAAAUGUUCUCAGAUGUUCAGACAAAUUUAAUUCUGAUACAGAUACUUAGGCUGAUUCUAAUUUUUUGCUGCUGUAAACUAUGCUGCAGUUAGCAUACUUGUCCAAACAUCUUUGCUCAUUUGUCUGACAAUAUUUUGGAUCUACUCCUAGAAGUUGAAUUAUCAAUUAAAAUAUUUAUGGACAGUUUUUAUUGUUUUGUGAAAUAUCUUGCCUAACUUGGGGAGGCAUUCUUUAUGGGGAUGCUCUUGGGCAGUGAACAAAUUGGGUAGAAAUAUGUAGGACACUGAUAUUGGGAAAAGGUUGACAUACAGGGUAAUGUAGAUGAGAGCCAGAUGUCCCCAGGUCAAGCUAAAAUGCUUCUAUUUCCUUUAUUAAAAUGACUGAAUCAAAAUCAAAAUUAUAAAAAAAUAACCCAAUAAAAUAUUUGUGUUUCAACA